rnacentral:rRNA from 1 species
AUUGAACGCUGGCGGCAGGCCUAACACAUGCAAGUCGAGCGAGUGGCGGACGGGUGAGUAAUGUAUGGGAAUCUGCCUGAUGGAGGGGGAUAACUACUGGAACCGGUAGCUAAUACCGCAUACCAUCAGAUGAACCCAGAUGGGAUUAGCUAGUUGGUGGGGUAACGGCUCACCUAGGCGACGAUCCCUAGCUGGUCUGAGAGGAUGAUCAGCCACACUGGAACUGAGACACGGCCCAGACUCCUACGGGAGGCAGCAGUGGGGAAUAUUGCACAAUGGGCGCAAGCCUGAUGCAGCCAUGCCGCGUGUAUGAAGAAGGCCUUCGGGUUGUAAAGUACUUUCAGUCGGGAGGCGUUACCGACAGAAGAAGCACCGGCUAACUCCGUGCCAGCAGCCGCGGUAAUAC